rnacentral:tRNA from 1 species
GGAGAGGUGGCCGAGUUGGCUGAAGGUGCACGACUGGAAAUCGUGUGUGGGGUUAAACUCACCGAGGGUUCGAAUCCCUCCCUCUCCGCCA